AUAUGCUACUUGCGUUAUAAUUUUUUCCUUCUAGUAAUCCUUGAUUAUCUUUGGGGCUGCGUACGACUCCAAAUAAACAAUUGUUUUGCUGACUGUAAUCUUGAGCAACAUUAACAAAGGAGGCACUACUCACUAGUGCCCAUUCUUUAGACGAGUAAUUUUUUGCUUUAAAGUUCAAAUUAUGGAUAAAACCUCUUCCUUCUGAUUGUAGCUUUGAUUCGAUAUCUUUCAUUCUGUAGCAGGAAGACCCGUAAACCCUUGUGGGCAAUGUAAAGGACUCAAUAGCCAAAUUAAUUUUUGCGGAGGAAGCCCAAAGGUCAUCACCUUGUGAUAUUGUACACAAAGGGAAGUACUGAGAACAAGAUCCGUUGAGCUGAGAUAACGAAAGUGCUUCAUUUAGUUUUCCGAAAUGAUUAUCAAUAGUUGCGGAUGAAUCUGACUGAAUCGGCUCUCGAAUCCCAUAGACCCAAGUGGGAACACGACAUUCUCCUAGCUCAUCUUGAACUACUUUCAUGUAUUCGCUCGCAAAUCCACCCCACGGAGUGUCUAUGUCUAUUGCUGCUUGAAACCCUUGGACGCUAUCACAUUCUUCAACAAGCGGCCUCAAUCCUUCAUCCCAUACAUUGAAUUGCUUAUCAAAAUCAUGAAACCUUUCUACACCGAGUUGAAAUGAAAAGUCCGAUGAAUUCAGUUCCGAACAGUUUACUGGAAAUAAAUACUCAGUAUCUAAAAAUAACCGAUUGAAAUCUGACCAAUAUUUAACGCUUUUUGGACGAAUAGAAGGAAGUUCAUAUUCUGAUUCUAUUGCGUUUCCCUCAUGGAUCUCAUCUCGACUCCAAAGUGCUUCUUGGUACGGAUGCACAUCGACUGGAGUCUGCAUAAUCUGCGUGAGUUUACCAUCCCAUGCUGUACCUUUUCCUCCUGAUGACUCAUUUAACUCCUCUAACCAGUUUUUUCUAGUAUUUCCAAACUCAAUUGGAGUAUCAUAUAUGCACUCACGAGGAACCGUAACAAUAGCUUCUGGAUCACGCUUUUUCAGUACACGGAAAUUGGUGUUUACAUUAACCUUUGCAUGAUCGUUCGGAUCGUAUACAAAAUAAGACUCUUGAGUGUUCCAAAAAUGCGUCCAACAGAAGUUGCUCUUUCUUCCAAAUGUAACUGUU